AUUAGAUACCCUAUUAUUUUUAUUGUAAAAAGUUAAACCAGAGUAUUAAUAGUUAAGAUCUUUAAACUUAAAGAAUUUGGCGGUAUUAUAAUCUAUUUAGAGGAAUCUGCUAUGUAAUCGAUAUUCCACGUUGAACCUUACUUAUAUAAUUUCUUGUAUACCGCUGUUUUUGAAUAUACUUUUAGGUUUAAUUUUCUAAAUUUAUAAUUACUUAAUAUUUCAAGUCAUGGUGCAGUAUAUAUAUAUGUUGAAUAGUGGAUUACAAUAAAUUUUAUUUAUAUGAAUUGUUAUUGUAAUAUAAUAUGAAGGUGGAUUUAAUUGUAAUUUUAUAAAGAUUAUUAAAAUGAUCAAUUAGCUCUAUAAUAUGCACACAUCGCCCG
rnacentral:rRNA from 1 species